CGGGGAGUAGCGCAGUUGGUAGCGCACCUGCUUUGGGAGCAGGAGGCCGGGAGUUCGAGUCUCCUCUCCCCGACCA
rnacentral:tRNA from 5 species